rfam:Gossypium arboreum cultivar AKA8401 contig_39593_1, whole genome shotgun sequence.
UAUUAAAAAUUUUAUCCAUUUUGACUGUUGAGAACUGAUGUGGCUGACAAAAUAAUUAGACAACCAAGUGUACCUCAUGCUGAUAUACAAUUAUCAUUUUUUAAUAGUAAAAGUGAAUAAAAUUUUUAACA